GAUUGCUGGGUCAAAUGGAAUUUCUAUUUCUAAGGCCUUGAGGAAUCGCCACACUGUCUUCCACAAUGGUUGAACUAAUUUACACUCCCACCAACAGUGUAAAAGUGUUCCUUUUUCUCCACAUCCUCUCCAGCAUCUGUUGUCUCCAGAUUUUUUAAUGAUCGCCAUUCUAACUGGUAUCUCAAUGUGGUUUUGAUUUGCAUCUAUCUGAUGACCAGUGACGAUGAGCAUUUUUUCAUAUGAUUGUUGGCCUCAUAUAUGUCUUCUUUUGUAAAGUGUCUGUUCAUAUCCUUUGGCCACUUUUGAAUGGGCUUGUUUUUUUCCUGUAAAUCUGUUUGAGUUCUUUGUAAAUUCUGGAUAUCAGCCCUUUGUCAGAUGGGUAAACUGCAAAAAUGUUUUCCCAUUCUGUCGGUUGUCGAUUCACUCUAGUGACUGUUUCUUUUGACGUGCAGAAGCUGUGGGGUUUCAUUAGGUCCCAUUUGUCUAUUUUGGCCUUUGUUGCCAAUGCUUUUGGUGUUUUGUUCAUGAAGUCCUUGCCUACUCCUAUGUCCUGGAUAGUUUUGCCUAGAUUUCCUUCUAGGUAGCUUGAUGGGGACAGCAUUGAUUCUGUAAAUUACUUUGGGCAGUAUAGCCAUUUCCACGAUAUUAAUUCUUCCUAACCAUGAACAUGGAAUGUUUCUCCAUCUGUUUGUGUCCUCUCUGAUUUCGUUGAACAGUGGUUUGUAGUUCUCCUUUAAGAGGUCCCUUACGUUCCUUGUGAGUUGUAUUCCAAGGUAUUUUAUUCUUUUUUUAGCAAUUGUGAAUGGCAGUUCGUUCUUGAUUUUGCUUACUUUAAGUCUGUUAUUGGUGUAGACGAAUGCUUGUGAUUUUUGCACAUUGAUUUUAUAUCCUGAGACUUUGCUGAAGUUGCUUAUCAGUUUCAGGAGUUUUUGGGCUGAGGCGAUGGGGUCUUCUAGGUAUACUAUCAUGUCGUCUGCAAAUAGAGACAAUUUGGCUUCCACCUUUCCU
rnacentral:lncRNA from 13 species